rnacentral:rRNA from 1 species
AUGGCAACUUUUCUGAUAACUAACUUAGAAUUAUUUUCUCUCUACAAUUUGCCAUGGCAACUUUCUAAUAAAAACUUAGAAUUUUAUUUCACUCUAAAAAAAUUGCCAUGUCAAUUUUCUGAUAACAACUCAGAAUUAUUUUCCACUCUACAAAAUUGCCAUGGCAACUUUUCUGAUAACAACUUAGAAUUAUUUUGCUCUCAACAUGCUGCCCAAAUCAAUGAUGCAUAUAUGUCAACUCUCUGUUCAAAAAUGGCUCUGUUCAUUACGCAUACACAACGGCAUCAUACAGAGAUAAGAAGAAUCACAACAAUAUGUCACUGA